GACGAACGCUGGCGGCGUGCUUAACACAUGCAAGUCGAACGGAAAGGCCCUGCUUUUGUGGGGUGCUCGAGUGGCGAACGGGUGAGUAACACGUGAGUAACCUGCCCUUGACUUUGGGAUAACUUCAGGAAACUGGGGCUAAUACCGGAUAGGAGCUCCUGCUGCAUGGUGGGGGUUGGAAAGUUUCGGCGGUUGGGGAUGGACUCGCGGCUUAUCAGCUUGUUGGUGGGGUAGUGGCUUACCAAGGCUUUGACGGGUCGCCGGCCUGAGAGGGUGACCGGCCACAUGGGGACUGAGAUACGGCCCAGACUCCUACGGUAGGCAACAGUGGGGAAUAUGGCACAAUGGGCGGAAGCCUGAUGCAGCAACGCCGCGUGCGGGAUGACGGCCUUCGGGUUGUAAACCGCUUUCGCCUGUGACGAAGCGUGAGUGACGGUAAUGGGUAAAGAAGCACCGGCUAACUACGUG
rnacentral:rRNA from 1 species